CAAAUACUCCCUCCGUCCGGAAAUACUUGUCAUCAAAAUGGAUAAAAGGAAAUGUAUCUAGACGUAUUUUAGUUUUAGAUACAUCUAUUUUUAUCCAUUUUGAUGACAAGUAUUUUCGGACGGAGGGGGUAGAAA
rnacentral:pre_miRNA from 1 species